rnacentral:rRNA from 1 species
GACGAACCGUGCGAACGUUGUUCGGAAUCACUGGGCUUAAAGGGCGCGUAGGCGGGUCUUCAAGUCAGGGGUGAAAUCCUUCGGCUCAACCGGAGAAGCGCUUUUGAUACUGGAGACCUCGAGGGAGGUAGGGGCAUGUGGAACUCAGGGUGGAGCGGUGAAAUGCGUAGAUAUCCUGAGGAACGCCGGUGGCGAAAGCGACGUGCUGGACCUCUUCUGACGCUGAGGCGCGAAAGCCAGGGGAGCAAACGGG